CUCUGGCUGUCCCCCACUCCCUGAAGCCGGGACAGAACACAGAGAUCCGCUCCUGGCUGGCCUGUGUUGCUGGAAAACAUGUGGCACGGCAGAGAGAAUGAAUGCUUUGAGAGUUCUUCUGCACAUUUCCUAUUAUUAAUGUAAAUUUUUUCUUUUUUUUUCUGACUUUGAAGUUUGAUUUCAAAGCAUUUCUGGAAAAAUUCCAUUUAGGAAUUGUAUCAUUAAUGUUUUGGAUUAAUCAAAAAGCCGUGAUCUUAGUAUCAUUUGAAAUGAAGGCGUUUAGUCAGUUCCACAAAGGAAGAAGUUGUCUUAUCGCUAAUUGCGAUCUGUUCUGUUACUUACAAAACUGAAGGUCGCAGUGACCAUCCUAGUAAACCUAAUUGGUUUUGAGGGUCCAGGUCCAACUUGUGUUCCAGUAUUUAUAUCAUUUUGCAAAGCUGAUAAGAAUUUUAUGAGCCAAGAACCCAAUACAUUCCUGUAGAUGGCUUCAAUCUGUAAGAUCAACAUUUUGUGUAAAUUCAGCUCUCCUGCCAUGAGCACUGAUAGCAAAAGUUUGUAUGUUCAGAGGGUGCAGCCAGAGAAACAGAACCAGAGGACUAUGAAUGCCCCAAGCCCUUUAUUAUACUCUCUAUUUAGAGUUAAUAUGAUGUUAAUGAAAUUCCAGUUUAAAGGACUGUUGAACAACUGUUGUCCUUGAUGUGUGCCUUAAGUAACACACAUAAAUAUGCUUCCAAAAUGGAAUUGGGAUCCUUCAUUCCCACUGAAGGCCUGAUCUGCAUUAGGAGGAAGCAGCAGACCACAUUUUUUUUGUGGGACCUUUGACUGAUAGCAGAGCAAAUAACAGGAAGAAAAGCACAGCUUGAUCUUUUAGUGCAAAGAAAUAUGCCAUGGUAUGAACCUGAUUGCUGGAAAACAUUUACCUCCCUACCCUCCCUGCUGCCCUGAAGUGAGCAAAUUUGAUAUGUAUGGAGGUAUGUGUUUUUCACAGUUGCACAGAAGACAGACAUAUCUAGUGCUCUUUUAUCUUGAACAUCUUCCUCAGUUUUGACCCUCACUGUGAUAAAUGCCAAGAAUUUAUAAUGCUGUGGAAAGGAAAAGUGAUUAUUUUCAUUCAAGAUUUAAUAAUUCCUCAUCAGAAGGUGAGAGUUAGGAUGACUGACUAGAAAACAAUUUUAUGGUGCAGGAGAACUCUAGGAAGUCUGAGUACUGUGAUCAAGCUGUCAAUGUCCCUGUUCAUUGCAGCAGAGUUAGACCAGAUGACCUCUAGAGAUCCCUUCCAACUCAAAUGAUUCAAUGAUUCUGUGAAGUAAUUGUCUUAGCUGGUAACCAUUUGUAGCAUAUUUACUAACUGUUUGAAUACUGCCUAGCAGUAGAAAACUACAGUAACCAGACACUGUUUGUAUAUCUUUUCCUUUCUUUGACAUUAAUCUAAAUACUGGUGGUCAUGUCCCUAGCAUAAUCUCUACUGCAGAUGCAAGUGGACAAAUGCCAGGGGCUAAAGAAACCAAUGGGUUUUUUUCAAGUGUCUGUAAGCCAUAAGAUUGUGGCAGAAAUGCUAAGAACAAACUGCCUUCAGACUCCAGGAGGAUGAUGCACUGAACACCCCUCUGAGAGAUACAGCUUGAAAGAGGUGCAGAAGGUCUAUCUGUUCCAAAUAAACGAGACCAGGGAUGAACUUGCAUAAUUAUGAUUUUUUGCCAAGUUAUUUAACAAUGUCUGUAGCACACACUAAUGAGACCCAGGAAUAGGCAUACCAGCUGAACUGUAGCAGAUGAAAUUGAGAAAAGAUUGUACAUGCCACUGCUGUGAAGUAGGCACAUGAUGUCUACUCUGGUAAUGAGAAACAUGAGCAGGAGUUACCUUUAAAUGUCUGGUACUGCGGUUCUGCUUCUGAAGCUAAGGAUUUAUAGAACAGCAGCUUUGCAUGGCUGAAUAUCCUGGUUUUGAAGAGUCAUUUUUCUGGUUAUGUUUUCACAUUUGAAUCUGGAGAUGAUCUGUGACUGUAGUAAGUGGAUCAGAAGUCAGAUUUAAAUUCUGCUCUCACCUCUGCCGUUGGGCACCUUCUUUUAUUGUACAAUCUUUUGUUACAGUUGUAUGCUUUUGAAGUGGAGUUGGUUUCACAAUAGAGUGCUGGUUGGAUUUGGGUAGCCUUUCUUUUCAUUGUGCUGAACAGCAGCAUGGUCUCCAGGUUUGGUGGAAUUGGUAUGGCAAACUGAACUCUCUUAGAGUAGCCACAAGCUGAAAAGUUGUUGUGCAGAAAAGAAAAAGAAUAUACGUUAAGGGGAGUCUCUGCUUAGUUCCUCUUACAGUGUUUGAGAUCUACUGUGUUUAUUUUGUAAUUAUCUGUUUGUAGUCACAACUGUAGUAGUGCAAGAUGUACCUGGGUUUUGUUUCUUAAUCUCCAUUCCCUUAUUCGCAUGCGUCAAUAGUAAUAAGGAGUUAGCAUUUAGAGCUUGGCUGACGAUUUUGUUUGAUGGGACAAGGAACAAUGGAAUCCAGGUCACGCUUACAUAGCAGUGCUGGGUCACCAGCUCUGAUUGGUACAGAGACUAGCUGCUGUUACUGGUGUUGGAAGUCAUACAAAGAGCUGAUGUUUGAGUAGUUUGCCAUUUUUCAUGGUGUUAUUUUUAUGUGUUUAGGUGCAUGUAAGUGAAACAAAGGCUUUGUGACAAAUGAAGUCUCUAUGAAAUGUGUAUGUACACUUGUGUAUGAGUUUAUUUAUGAAAUUAAAAUAUUAUUAACUAACCAUUCUUUUCUUUAUGCUGUGUUAGCUUAUCAGUAAAAAUACAAAGCUUGUUGUAGAAGCAGAAGGAAAAACGAAGGUGAGGUUUUAUGGCUAGGAUUAGUGCUCUUUUAAAAUUUCGCUUCUCUUUUUAAGGUACUGCUCUUAAAACACCUUAUGGCCACUGGGAGAUGAAAUUCAGAUGCUCUUUUUCUGCCCAGUGACCUUGAGGUAGCUGCUGUCCACAGCUCUGUGGACACCUUGCCCUUCUCCCCUCCUGUGCUCCUGUCUGCGCCCAUUUGACAAAGACAAAUGAAGCAGGAGUAUGGCAUAUUUUAAAGAAGUAAACUAGACUUGCUCAAGGGAUUUUAAAAAAUACAUCCAUGUUUUGUAAACAUAAGACAUGUUUGGCAAAUUGUAACUCUUGCAUGAUUUAGCAGAUGGAUGUGCUGUUGCCAGAGUUGGUAACAAAAAUGCAGUGAAUCCAGAACAAUGAAGAGGGUGGCAAAAAUCUUUGCAUAUUAAUUUGUAUUAAUUUGAACUUGAUCUUUUUUUAAAGAUUUUUUUAAUUUAUAGUUGUUGAAGAAUUGUGAGCUUUCUGUACACAAUUCAGUGAGAGUGGAACUUAUAUGUGAAAUUUCUAAAACUUGCAGAAUGGCAAAAUCCAACAUCCAUCUGUAACAUCCAAUGUCCCAGCCCUCUGCUGUGAAAACUAGUGCAUCAGCAUUUCUUCUAGUCCUUGAAAGGGGAGGUACAGUUGCAAAAACAGAAAAAUGCUGACGCCUUUUGUAUGAAGAAAAUAAAUAAUAGUGAAAAGUGUAUGUCAGUUAAAAAAAAAAAAAAUGUCACUUCAUAUGUAUGUGACUCUGCACACAUACUGUGACAUCUGCUUUAAGGAACUAGCACUGCAGGGAGGCAGUCACUUCUGCUCACUACUAUUUGAAAUAUCCUUGGUAUUUGCAUCUCUGUGUAGAAUUGUCCCCUUCAGGGAAUCCACUUUGCUUGCCCCUGAGUUGGAGAUUUCCCUCUUCUUGUGUGGCUUACGUUUUAAAUUUCAAGUACCUCUCCUGCAUUACAAAUCAUACAUUUGUAAAGUUACAAAGUGGAUUAUAAGUAUUUGGUCUGUAAAUUUAGCAUAGCAUCUGCAUAAAGAAAAUAACAACUAAGGUUUGUUUUGCAGUUUUUACAUAGAAGGGAACAAAAGUUGAUUUCCUUUUCUAUAUUAUCUAAUUCCAUCUACUGUUCAUCACAAUUAUUACCAGAAGACAUGACAGUUAUGGUUUCUCAGGGAGAAAAAAAUAUUUGAAAUGUCACUGAAGUGGAUAUUAAUACUUAGUAAUUGAUCCAUGUUUGUGGCUUAGAUUUUCACAGCUAUUGUAAUUUAUGUACAUAGUCCAGUAGUUCAGUGGAGUUUAGAAUUACCGAGCUUACCUGCCUGCAUCUGUGAGUAUGCACAAGAGAAAAGGCAAGGAUGUGCUUGCGUAUUUAGCAAAGCAAAAUCCCUAUUAUAUGCUCUCAUGUGUAUCAAUUCCUUUUGAGAAGAAUGCAGUGUAUGAUAGGACAAAAUACUCUCUAUUACUGUAGUCACCAUUGCCAUUGACUGAGAAAGGGAUAAAGUGGCGGUAUGCAACAGCUGACAAAUAUUAGCUGUUGCUCACUGGAAUCACAUAAUCUAGAAUGUGGAACUGAAUAUGUGCCUGUGCAUUUAAUUGCUGGGAUUGUCAAAGAAAAGUAGGUGAUUGAUAAGGAUGGUACAAAGAAGGUCAGAAGAGCAAUGUGCACAAUUCGAUGUACAGAGAACCGCACUCUCUGCCAAUCAUUACUUCAUCCCCUCUCAGUGAGGGCAUAGUCAAAAGACAGCACCAAUUAAUUUCAACUCUGAACUUGACCUGAGUGAAUGAUUUUGGGAUGGACUCCUGUAAACUCUGUGUGUCUGCAUGUAUCCUGAAGCUGGUGAACACUGCAUGUGUUUGAGGGAAGAUGGGGAAGACACAGUGCACAUGGGAAUAGUGUUUUCCAAAUGGCUAAAGGAUCUACUUGGCAAGGAUGCUUAAUUUUCUUUUCAACCUGUUGAGCAGAUGAGACCAGGGAGAAUGAAUAAAGUAGAGCUACAAAGAAAUACUAUGACCCCUGCUUGAAUAAUUAUGCUGUAUUUUGUGUCUCUUUUCUGAUUCAAGGUACAACAACCGAAUAUUAGAAAAACCUAGCAAGGCAAAUGUUUUUGUACCAUGGAAGUAACUGUGCUUCCAAAAAAACAUGGCAUUUUUUAGUCCUGAGGUAGUCACCUACCAAUGUCCGUCAUGCUUUUAGGGCUUAGCAGUUCCCCAGAAAGCUGUCUGAGUUUUAGGAGGUGAAUGUAUGUGACAUCUGAAAGCAUCAUACUGAAGUAUUUUGAUCUUGUUCUUUGUAAUGUGCUAGCAUUAUUGCAGUGUAUGGAAAGAUGUUGGAGGAGAAAGCAAAGACACACCCUUGUUUGCAAUUCCUUUAAUUGCUAUUAAGGUUGAUCGGCAUUUGUGGAGGAGGCAGCAUCACCCUCCUCAGAACAGUUCUUCUGGGCACUGCACAGGCCUUGGUGCUUUGGUAAUCUAGCAAGCAGCCUAGUUCCAUUUGCAGUCUCAUCCUCCUCCAGAUGCAAAGUAUGUUUUAAAAUUUAGAUGAAUACAAGAAAUCAAAGUUCUUAAUGGGGUGCAUCUGCACUGGCACUGUACGGGCUACAAGUAAAUGAUGACUUGGAAAUCACUAGUCAAAUAAAGUUUUCUGUUUUCCAAACACAAUCCUGUACAUAAGAGCUUGUUUAGAAACAGUUCCCUCCAGGAAGAGGCUUUAUUCCUUUCCUAGAGGAAAAGCGCAGUAAUCCCUACACAAAGCACUUACGUAAAAUGAAGUCUUUACUAGAAAGCGGGUUCCUGCCAACACAAAUGACCUUAAGCUUGUGUAAAUUGCUCUCUAUUUCUGCCUGCGGCGAUCCAGGCUUCCUUCCCUGAUCCUCACAAAUGACACUCUGCUCAUCAGUUAUGCGUCUGGAGCUACUUCAUUUCUAAUCCUAGCCCUCUUUCUAUCCAGCUAGCAGAAAUGGCCUCUGCAUAUGACAUGAGUUAACAGACUUAAUCUAGCAAUUAAAUACACAUUAAGAGAUGCAUUUCUUGUGUGAUGCAAGGGUCAUUAAACCAGCUUAAUUGGUGUCCUGCUGUAGGAGUGUGUACUUUUAGUUAUUGGCAGAGAAUGAGCAUUGGGCGUUGCUUUGUGUGAAUUUCAGUUUCAGAAAUGGAGUUGAAAAGACACCUGCUUUGUACUUGUUACUGUGGGGCUGUGAUUUGACAAGGAAAAAAGUGUUCUCCGCUUGCCAUCAAGUCAAUUCCUUUACUAUGCACACAGUUUUUUUUAAGAAAGGAUGGCAUUUUCAAAGUCAGUGGAGUGUUUUAAAACACCCUUAUGUGAGGCUUGGGGAUGAGGUCUGUCAAGCUUUAGUACUUCUUGUGCUCACUCCCCUGAAUGGGUCCUUGGAAGGUAGCAUGGAUCUCAAGCUCAUGAGCACAAGGACAAAGGAGAAGAAUAUGUGUUUUUUUUUCUCUUAAUAGAUCAAUGGACUUGAUGAUCUUUGUAAGUCCCUUCCAACUGAACAGUUCUAAAUAAUUUCUUAAGCUGAAACAUGAGAGAUUCUGAUGAUAUAUCAGGAUCAUUUCCCUUUUAUUUUUCAGCAAGAGCAUGACCAAAUAGUGGAAGAGGAUCUCAGGGAGUUUUUACAGUCUCCAUCCUUGGAGAUAAUCAAGAAUAAUUAGACAAGGCACUAAAUAACCUGCACUAACUGGGCUGGUUUUGGGCAGGCGUUGGACUAGGUGACCUCUGGAGGUCCUUUCCUGCCUAAAUUAUUUGGGUGAUUCUAUGAAGUUUACUUAGAGUAGAGCCAAGCUUUUGUGGCAGCAAGACGAGGAAAACAAACAGCUCAGGGCCUGAGGUGGUAAAGACUUUGAUGCAUAUUUCACAAGUUGUGAGCAAGACUUCAGCUGGUAAUUAGCUUAUCCAGUGUGCUGCUUGUACUGUAUGUAUGUUAUAUAGGAAAAUGAUACCUUGAAAGUACCUGCACAAAGAGACAGACAUCACAUAGGUCGUUCCACCAGUCAUGUUAUGCAUCUGAGCUGACCUUUGCCUUUUUGGACCAAAGCCUGACUCCAUCAGUCAUAUUACACCUGAUUCAGUGUAACAUUACCAAACACAGGCUUUGCCCUGCCAGCCUUUGAGUACUGAUUUCUCAGCAGUAACUGUGCUAUCAUUCUCACUAUAAAGAGCUAUGCAUGUUCGUAGCAUUCCGUGGUGUUGCUCACUUGUAGUGUUUCAGCACUGGUUGAUGGUGGGCUCUGGCACCUCAUCCUGUCUGCUGACUAGGAGCAAUGUGCAUGCCAGGCAGCCAGUUGGAAACUCUUCCUUCCAUGUCAGGAGGACAUCUAUAGUGGUCUGAGAGAGCUUCACAAAAAUUGAAUGCAGCGACACAGCUGCCAAGUCAUGUGGUAGGUUCAAGAGGUGGUAGUGAUGGAGAGUUUCUGUUUGCAGGAUUGUGAUCUGUGGCAUCUUUCAAAUGACGGAGAUGCAAUUCCAGUAAUUCAGGGAUGUACUGACACACAAACUGUUCGUACUGUUCUCCUUCAUUUUAUUUCCAGAAUUCUUGAAUGUAAUUAUAGCUUCCCAGCAUGUUGUUCCCUGCUGUUUGUUCUUUAUGCAAACUGUAUAUGUCAUCACGGUCUAGAGCUAUUUUUGGCACAGCAUUAAUCUUUCUGUAAUGUGACCCUGCCCUGUCCUGUUUCCUCUCUGAAAGUUGAUGAGGAGCUUGUUGGCUUUGUGCUUCGAAGCGCUGACUCCAGCUCUCUGAACACACAGGAGUGUGAGGGUUACGUGGGGAUUUCUGGCGACCUGCUGGGCCUCAGUCAUUCUGUUUAUGGUGGAGAGGCUGAACAUCUCCAGGCCGCGUAAUUGGUCUGACAGCCACUUCCACAGUGUCUGCGUAUCACAAAGAAAAGUGCUGUCAAACAGCACUGCCAUAAGGGAUAUUAAUGACAAAGUUCGGAUGAAUGGGGCUUUGGAUAUGUGUAGUCUGAUGACUAAGGAGAGGCUGUGAUGCGUAUGCAUUUGUAAUGCCUUUGCAUGGACUGAAGUGGAGUGCUCUUUUGGCAGUGUGUCAGCAGUGAAGCAGUAUCCAUGUUGCAGUGAGGGCUGAAUGCUGACAACUGUGUGUGCUCCAAAACUCAGGACCAAUGGCAAUGAGCAGACAUGUGAGUGAGUACCUGAGAAGAGAUCAGGAUCUGUGCUGUGAGACAUCAGGUCGUGCAAUCUGUAAUACAUUCUGUUGGCCAACAUGUCAAGAAAGUCUUUAGUUCACAUCUGGAUUGAGGAUAGGUAGAAAGCAAAGGAUAAAGGCCCAACUUGAGCUAUCAUUUGAAAUCUCGUAAUGUAGUGCAGCUGUCUCUAGUUUCAUGUAGAGAGGGGUAAAAACAACAAACUCCAAUUUUUAAUGCACACGUGGCUAGGCUUGAAGUCUGCGGUUGCAACCCAGGGAUUAGAAUUUACACCUUCUUUAAAAAUGCAGAUUUGAGUUAAUGCUUUAUUUAUAAAGUUUCUCUAGAAAGUCCUUUCAUACAUGUUUUGGAAUUUUUGUUGGCAUUUUUUUCAUGGUUGAAAUAACAGUGUUUUCUGGGAAUUUGUUUCAGGGAGGGUGGUGGUGGUUAACAUUUAAAUAUAUACAGUGCUUAUCACCGCUCCUCUUCUGUUUUGACUUAGAUUGCACAUACCUUACCAUGUUAAUCUAAGGUUGUUCCCAUCAUUCCUGUUAAGAUUUAACUUAGUUAAAACCGUUCUUGUUUUAACAGAGAUCAUUCACUAAUAAUGAUUAACAUACCUCUAGCAAAGCUUAAGUGCAUCAAAUACCAGUGGUUACCUCCAUGAGACUGCAAAUUUAAAACAGUUUCAAGGGUGAAGUCUUAAAAGAAAAAGAGAAAGCAUAUGAUAAUGCACAUUGCAGAAAUGUCUUUGCACUACUAUGUUACUUUUUUCUUCUGAAGUUAGUGUAAUCUAGAGUCUGUUUUUCAAACUUCUCAAAAGUCAAAGGGAAGGAUAUCAGCUUGCAAUACAACCCUUUAUAUGAACAAGGGAAGGUAUAUAGAACAUUCCAGUAAGGAAGGAUUUGAAGAAGUCUUGAGUAGCUAAAUCCAGAGGAUUCAGAAGUAAUACAGGCUUUCUUUAUGCAUUAUUCUGUUUUUUAUCUAUUUCUUUUAUUUUCAGGGAAGGACUCCUAAGUUACUGUAAUGUAACUUUACACUCUAUGGAAAGAUUUAAGAAAGUCUUAUUGCAUGUACAACUUGUGAUAUUGUUCUUUGCCCCCAUCUUCUUACUUUUAGUAUGCCUGAUAAUCAGCCUGGAAUGCUACUACAGAUGUAGCAAAAAAAAAAAAAAAAAAAAAAAAAAAAAAGAAAAGAAAAAAAGAAAAAAAA